AUUGAACGCUGGCGGCAGGCUUAACACAUGCAAGUCGAGCGGGGUGAUGGUGCUUGCACUAUCACUUAGCGGCGGACGGGUGAGUAAUGCUUAGGAAUCUGCCUAUUAGUGGGGGACAACAUCUCGAAAGGGAUGCUAAUACCGCAUACGUCCGACGGGAGAAAGCAGGGGAUCACUUGUGACCUUGCGCUAAUAGAUGAGCCUACGUCGGAUUAGCUAGUUGGUGGGGUAAAGGGCUACCAAGGCGACGAUCUGUAGCGGGUCUGAGAGGAUGAUCCGCCACACUGGGACUGAGACACGGCCCAGACUCCUACGGGAGGCAGCAGUGGGGAAUAUUGGACAAUGGGGGGAACCCUGAUCCAGCCAUGCCGCGUGUGUGAAGAAGGCCUUAUGGUUGUAAAGCACUUUAAGCGAGGAGGAGGCUCUUUUGGUUAAUACCCAAGAUGAGUGGACGUUACUCGCAGAAUAAGCACCGGCUAACUCUGUGCCAGCCGCCGCCGUAA
rnacentral:rRNA from 1 species